GGGGUGGGCAAGAGAAAUAAGAAAGUGAGAAAAAUUGAGUAGGUGGUUUCUUCACAAAGGAUUGUAUUAUGUGGGGAAUCGGAGCUAGAGGCUUCUCACAGUAAUUAAUUGAGAUGGAGUAUUGAAUCUAUAGUUUAUUAGAAUACCAAUCAGCAUGUAGGAUGAUGUUUGAAUCUGAUAAUUGAAUUCAGGGGAGUGUGAGUCUAAAGGAGAUGAAUAGUUACAAGUAUUGACUUUGAGAUUUAUUUAGAGGAUGGUGGUUUGCAGAAGGUUUUAAUAUUUGUUGCUUUUGG
rnacentral:lncRNA from 1 species